rnacentral:ncRNA from 1 species
AUAAAUUUACAAAUUUAAAAAUUAUAUUAAUUACUGAUAAUUUUCUUACUUAGCGUUGCCCUUCUAAUGAACGGCUAUGCAUCACCAACCACCGAAUCAAGAAAGAACAAUCAGUCUGUCAAUCCUUACAGUGUUCGGACCAGGUGAGUUUUCCCGUGUUGAGUCAAAUAAAGCCGCAGGCUCCACUCCUAGCGGUGCCCUUCCGUCAAUUUCUUUAAGUUUCAGCUUUGCAACCAUACUUGCGUAUAGCAGAUGUAUAGAUACCAUUGGCUGAAUGUCAUCAUUAUGCUGUUAACUCCAUCCGCUCCUCCUAGUGGUUCAACUCUUCCUUCGAAGUUCUUUGCAACUUUCCCGCGCGGUACUUGUUNNNNNNNNNNGAUUCCCACUGUCCCUAUCUACUAUCCAGCGAAAUUACAGCGAAGGCAACGAGCUUGGAAAAUACAGCGAGGAAAGAAGAUCUUGUUGAGCUUGACUCUAGUUCGACUCUGUGAAGAGUUAUGGAAGGGUGUAGCAUAAGUUGGAAGAUUCCCUGAAUCAACAGUGAAAUACCACUACUUUCAUAGACUCCUUGCUAAUUUGGUAAAGCGAGGAUUUAACCCCAAACCAGGGGUGCUUCAAAGUUUUACUACCAACUUUGAGCUGCUGUUUCAGGUAACUCGACUCUACAGCAAUAACCAGUAUUCACAACUGUCAACCACUCAUACGGGCUUAGAACCUUCUUUGGAACUUGCCCCACGCAAACGAACUCGGAGAAGUUGAGAAAAGCCUGAGCCAGAGUUCUCUUUUCUGGUUUAGGAACGGAUUCCCUGGAAACGGUUCAUCCGGCGAUAGGGACAUUGUUUCCGUAAAGUGUCACGGUUCCUGCGUGAAUUCAGAAUAAGCACUAAAAUAAAAAAUAUAGAGCUACAGUUUACGAAAUUGCUGCGCGUUUGAAAUGUCAAGUUUCAAUGGGAUAGAGAAUUCUAAUUCCAAGCGGGUAAUCAAAUAGCACUGUAAUUAUUUUAUAAUCUGUUAAAAACAUAACUAUUCGUGAUACAAGUGUUAAGAUGUGAUUUUUUCAUGACAAACAAGGGGUUUCUUUUUCUCACUCGAAGAUUUUU